AUAAAAUAGUAAAUAAAAGAAAGCAUUACAAAAAUGUGGUUUGUCAUGUAAGAUUUUACUGAUGAAUAGAAGAUUUCGGUUACUUAUAAUUUUUAAAGUAUUUUUAUUAUUAUAAACAAUAUUUUUCCUCUUGAAAAUAUGGGGAAUUAUUUAAAAUGAAAUUGAAUUUAUACAUAUUUAUAUUACCUAAAGAUGAUUAUUGUUUACCUCUGGUAUAGUUCUUUUCUGUUUACACACACACACACACACACACACACACACACGUGUGCACAUGUAAACACACAACAACCCAUUUAUCUGCACAUGCAAAUAUACAUAGACUGCACUAUGUAUAUAGACAUUUGUACAUAAUUUGGGGAUAUAACUGAAACCAUACGGCCAUUAAAAAAUCUUCCAAAAGAACACUUUUAAUGGCUGCAGCAUAUGUUCCUGUAUGAAUAUAUAAUAAUUAGCCUAAGCUCUAUUUUUGGACAUUUGCAUUAUACAAAAUUUCCUUCAUUAAAAUACCAUUAAGAAGUAUACAGACAGCCAAAUGAGUGCUUAUAUCAACAAAAAGACGUGUACAAAUAUUCAUAGAACCUUAGUCCUAAUAGUUCACAGCUGGAAACAAUCCAAACAUGUAUCAAUUUUAGAAUGGAUAAACAAAUUUUACUGUAUCUAUACAAGGGAACACUAAUCACCAAUGGAAAAGAAUUAAUGGUUGGCGGCUACAUGUAACAAUGUGAAUGAUUCUCAGAGACAUAAUAUUUAAUGGAAAAAAAUAACUAGAUGCAAAACAAUACAUUCUGUAUCAUUCCAUUUAUAUGAAAUUCAAGAACAGGCACAACUAAUCUAAGGUGAUGAGAGUUCGGCAUAUUGCUUAUGGGAAGGGUAUAGACAGGGAUGGGUUGCAAGGAAACUUUCCUUCAGAGUACUGCAAGUGUUCUCCAUCUUGAUCUGGAUGCUUGUGCAUGUAUGUAAAAGUUAAUUGAGCUGUAUAUUUCAGACUUGUGCACUCUAUGUAAACUGUACUUCAAUAAACAGAAAUAAGCAUAAUAGUCUGUGAUACAUCUUUGAAUAUAGGGUUUGACUAUAUUUGUUAUAAGUGCCUUAGCAUAAUCUCAUACAUUCUAAAAAAUGCUAUUUUGAAUCUUCAGAACAUCUAUGAUCUCUUUUCUGUUAUAGAACUUUCAUAAGCUAGAUAAAUGGCAGAUUUUUUUUAGAUAAUGUUAGUAAUAUUUAGAUUUGUCGAAGGAGAAUAAAUCCACGGGGGUGUCAUGACUAGGACUCUUGCCUUCUUCUUUGGGCUUCAGAUAAAUUUCAAUUUAAUCUAGCACUGAAUAUAUUGAAUCUGGAAUAAGAAGUCAAUAUAAUGGAAGGUCUUUCUCCAUUAACUGAGGUUUACAGAAAGAAUUCAUAAAAGAAUUCUUUAAUUUGUAAAAUUUCCCAGUACAAUUCAAUUAUGAUAUAAUCAAUAAACAAUUGCAUUAUGUUUUCAAGGGUGCUGCUAGUUUAUGGAGCAAGGAAAUAUGCAACCUACAGUACAUUAACUUUACAUGUGAAGACUGUGUAUAUUAGCUUGGUUUUUGCUGUGAUAAUGCUACUUAACAAAAACACCAAAAUCUCAGUGGAUUAUAACAAAAAACAUUUUAAUUCACACUUACAAAUCUGCAGGUCAGCUGUGGUUUGAUCGAUCUUGGGUGGUCUAGGAUGGAGUACAGGUUUCAGGUCAAUUUCAAGUUUUCAUGUUUGCAUUUCAGAACUCAAGCUGAAAGAACAACAACUUCAUGGGGCUUCAUAGACAGUGGACACUCCAAGAGGCCUAGCCCACCCACACAAGCACAUAUAAGGUUUACGUUCACAUUGCAGCCUUUUACAUGCCAUUGGCCAAAGCACCAUGGCCAUACCCAACAUCAUUGGUGAGGUAGAAGACUGGGCUGAGUACACUCCACGUGUGUCAGUAACUACCGAUGCAUAACAACCCCAAAACUUAGUGUCUUAAAAGAGCAAAAACCAAUUUAUUAUUUCUCACAAGUCUAUGAGUUUGUUGGGUGGUUUUGCCAAUCUGGGCUAAUCCCAGUUGUGCAUCUGUGUGAGGAGGCCUGUGGCCCAGGACCUGGUUCAUCA
rnacentral:lncRNA from 10 species